UAAGCAUAUCAAUAAGCGGAGGAAAAGAAACCAACCGGGAUUACCUCAGUAACGGCGAGUGAAGCGGUACCAGCUCAAAUUUGAAAUCUGGCUCCUCUGGAGUCCGAGUUGUAAUUUGUAGAAGAUGCUUUGGGUUGUGGGUUCGGCCUAAGUUCCUUGGAACAGGACGUCAUAGAGGGUGAGAAUCCCGUAUGUGGCCGAGGCCCGCGCCUAUGUAAAGCUCUUUCAACGAGUCGAGUUGUUUGGGAAUGCAGCUCAAAAUGGGUGGUAAAUUUCAUCUAAAGCUAAAUAUGGGCCAGAGACCGAUAGCGCACAAGUAGAGUGAUCGAAAGAUGAAAAGCACUUUGGAAAGAGAGUUAAACAGUACGUGAAAUUGUUGAAAGGGAAGCGCUUGCACCCAGACUUGGGCGCUGCUGAUCACCUUGCGGUCUCCGCGAGUGCACUCGACAGCGCACAGGCCAGCAUCGGUUCGGGUGGCUGGAUAAAGGCCGUAGGAACGUAGCUCCCUUCGGGGAGUGUUAUAGCCUACGGUGCCAUGCAGCCCAGCCGGACCGAGGACCGCGCCUUCGGGCUAGGAUGCUGGCGUAAUGGGUGUAAGCGACCCGUCUUGAAAAG
rnacentral:rRNA from 1 species